rnacentral:rRNA from 1 species
UACGUAGGGUGCAAGCGUUAAUCGGAAUGACUGGGCGUAAAGGGCGCGUAGGCGGUUAGAUAAGUUAGAUGUGAAAUCCCUGGGCUUAACCUAGGAACUGCAUUUGAUACUAUUUGACUAGAGUAGGGUAGAGGGAAGUGGAAUUUCCGGUGUAGCGGUGAAAUGCGUAGAUAUCGGAAGGAACACCAGUGGCGAAGGCGGCUUCCUGGACCUAUACUGACGCUGAGGCGCGAAAGCGUGGGGAGCAAACAGG